ACUCCUACGGGAGGCAGCAGUGGGGAAUAUUGCAUAAUGGGCGCAAGCCUGAUGCAGCCAUGCCGCGUGUAUGAAGAAGGCCUUCGGGUUGUAAAGUACUUUCAGCAGUGAGGAAGGUGGGUAUGUUAAUAGCAUAUUCAUUUGACGUUAGCUGCAGAAGAAGCACCGGCUAACUCCGUGCCAGCAGCCGCGGUAAUACGGAGGGUGCGAGCGUUAAUCGGAAUUACUGGGCGUAAAGCGCAUGCAGGUGGUUUGUUAAGUCAGAUGUGAAAGCCCGGGGCUCAACCUCGGAAUUGCAUUUGAAACUGGCAAACUAGAGUACUGUAGAGGGGGGUAGAAUUUCAGGUGUAGCGGUGAAAUGCGUAGAGAUCUGAAGGAAUACCGGUGGCGAAGGCGGCCCCCUGGACAGAUACUGACACUCAGAUGCGAAAGCGUGGGGAGCAAACAGGAUUAGAUCCCCUGGUAGACUCUGC
rnacentral:rRNA from 1 species